CAGUAGCCGCGGUAAUACGAAGGGGGCUAGCGUUGUUCGGAAUUACUGGGCGUAAAGCGCACGUAGGCGGAUCGAUCAGUCAGGGGUGAAAUCCCAGGGCUCAACCCUGGAACUGCCUUUGAUACUGUCGAUCUGGAGUAUGGAAGAGGUGAGUGGAAUUCCGAGUGUAGAGGUGAAAUUCGUAGAUAUUCGGAGGAACACCAGUGGCGAAGGCGGCUCACUGGUCCAUUACUGACGCUGAGGUGCGAAAGCGUGGGGAGCAAACAGGAUUAGAUACCCCCGUAGUCCCUGUCUCUUAUAA
rnacentral:rRNA from 1 species